UUGAAAUAGAGCAGACUGUCGGCCUGCAGGGAAAUAAACCAAAGAUGACCUCUCCUUGUGACCUUUUGGAUCUGCCUUGUGACCUUUGGAUCAUGGGUGUUUGACUUACUGAAAUUGCUCUCAGAACGACCCGGGAGGGAGAAAGCAGUCACAGCAACCUACCCCCACCGCCUCUGAAGUCUGAAUGGCAAAGCCCAGCUACAGAAUGACUCCGGUUGGCCUCCGGUCACAGCUGAGACUUUGGUGAUCCAGUGGUGCUGUGAUUCUCCAGGGCAAGAAACAUCCUGGGAGAACAAACAUCUUCUCAGUUCCUCAUUGUUCUUGGACUGUUAACAUCUUGUUUACCCAAGAUGUAUUGAACUCUCUGCAAGCUUUUUGUUACACCUUGUUUAUCCCAAUGUGAACUAUUGAACUCUCUGUAAGUCAUUUGUUGCAUUUGUUUCUCCAGAUGUACUGAAUUCUCUGCAAAUCAUUUGUUACGAGGUAAUGAAUAAAAGGUGUGGUGGGCUGGGGGCUUUGGUCUUUGCUGCCCAGAGAAAGCAGCACUGAUCAGACCCAAAGCUCAGCUUCUUCUCAGUCUCAUUUGUCUACCUUUUCUGUAAUUCGCUGUGUGCUGUCGUGGCUCGCAGGAGACCAGAACUCACUGCAGAGGUUCUGGUAAUGUCCCCUUCCCCUGUUCCAUACAAAAUCCUUACCAAAGUUACUGUCGUUUCUUGCUGGAGUUAAUUCCCCAUAUUAACCAGCUACUUUUACAGGU
ensembl:lncRNA